ACUGGAGUAGUUGUACAACGAAUACCUGUCUUACGAUUUAUGAUAAUAGAUGUACUGCUAGUCCUACUGAAACAUGCAACAAAUGAUAGUGUAACAUGUGCUACAAAAAUAUUGAAGAGAGCAGGAGCUGUGAUAGAAGAAACAGCUCAUUUAAAUGAACCUGCGGAGGGAAAUUUCAAUGAAGUGUUCUCACUGCUCAGCCAGUUGAAAGAACAUGAUCGUUUAGAAGAGACAACGAAGUGUUCAAUAACAACGUUGCUUAAACUUAAGUCCCGUAAUUGGGACAGAAGAGAUUCUACACAGUCUCGUUCAACUCACCCUGUUACUCAAAACGAGAAAAUGAGAGCGUUGGAAAAGAUAAUAAAAAAUCAGGGAACAAUAUGGAUGACAAAUAUCUUUGUAAAAUAUGUUUUGAUAAUCCAGUGGAAGUAACAUUUUUGCCAUGUAUGCAUGUGUGCUGCUGCAAGAACUGUAGCGACAAGUUAAAAGUGAAACAGUGUCCAAUUUGUAGGAAAAAGAUUAAAGAAAGUAGACCUUUGUAUUUUGCUUGAAAAAAGUGUAUAUUUUUCUAAGCUAGAAAUAUAACUGAUGUAAAUACGUAAGGAAAAUGACACUGAUAUAAUUUGAUUAUCAAUAUGUGUAUGUUAAUUGAAGUCUGGAGCUGGCAUGUCAGUUAACUGCUAGUAGUCUGUUGUUAUUUAUGUAUUAUUGUCAUUUUGUUUAUUUUCUUUGGUUACAUUUUCUGACAUCAGACUCGGACUUCUCUUGAACUGAAUUUUAAUGUGCGUAUUGUUAUGCGUUUACUUUUCUACAUUGGCUAGAGGUUUAGGGGGAGGGUUGAGAUCUCAUAAACAUGUUUAACCCCGCCGCAUUUUUGCGCCUGUCCCAAGUCAGGAGCCUCUAGCCUUUGUUAGUCUUGUAUUAUUUUUAAUUUUAGUUUCUUGUGUACAAUUUGGAGUUUAGUAUGGCGUUCAUUAUCACUGAACUAGUAUAUAUAUAUUUGUUUAGGGGCCAGCUGAAGGACGCCUCCGGGUGCGGGAAUUUCUCGCUGCAUUGAAGACCUGUUGGUGACCGUCUGCUGUUGUCUGUUCUAUGGUCGGGUUGUUGUCUCUUUGACAAAUUCCUCAUUUCCAUUCUCAAUUUUAUUAUGUUACUAUAAUUGUAUGUGUUAUCCAAAUAAAAUAUACUGGUAGUCAGAAA